UACGUAGGGUGCAAGCGUUAAUCGGAAUUACUGGGCGUAAAGCGUGCGCAGGCGGUUAUAUAAGACGGAUGUGAAAUCCCCGGGCUCAACCUGGGAACUGCAUUUGUGACUGUAUAGCUAGAGUACGGCAGAGGGGGAUGGAAUUCCGCGUGUAGCAGUGAAAUGCGUAGAUAUGCGGAGGAACACCGAUGGCGAAGGCAAUCCCCUGGGCCUGUACUGACGCUCAUGCACGAAAGCGUGGGGAGCAAACAGG
rnacentral:rRNA from 1 species